GAUGAACGCUGGCGGCGUGCCUAAUACAUGCAAGUCGAGCGAACGGACGAGAAGCUUGCUUCUCUGAUGUUAGCGGCGGACGGGUGAAUAACACGUGGAUAACCUACCUAUAAGACUGGGAUAACUUCGGGAAACCGGAGCUAAUACCGGAUAAUAUUUUGAACCGCAUGGUUCAAAAGUGAAAGACGGUCUUGCUGUCACUUAUAGAUGGAUCCGCGCUGCAUUAGCUAGUUGGUAAGGUAACGGCUUACCAAGGCAACGAUGCAUAGCCGACCUGAGAGGGUGAUCGGCCACACUGGAACUGAGACACGGUCCAGACUCCUACGGGAGGCAGCAGUAGGGAAUCUUCCGCAAUGGGCGAAAGCCUGACGGAGCAACGCCGCGUGAGUGAUGAAGGUCUUCGGAUCGUAAAACUCUGUUAUUAGGGAAGAACAUAUGUGUAAGUAACUGUGCACAUCUUGACGGUACCUAAUCAGAAAGCCACGGCUAACUACGU
rnacentral:rRNA from 1 species